UACGGAGGAUGCAAGCGUUAUCCGGAAUGAUUGGGCGUAAAGGGUCCGCUGGUGGCAAUGUGUGUCUGCUGUCAAAGAAUGAGGCUUAACCUCAUCAAGGCAGUGGAAACUACAUAGCUAGAGUACGGUCGGGGUAGAAGGAAUUCCUGGUGUAGCGGUGAAAUGCGUAGAGAUCGUAAGGAAGACCAGUGGCGAAGGCGGGUCUCUGGACAGUUCCUGACACUGAGGCACGAAGGCCAGGGGAGCAAACGGG
rnacentral:rRNA from 1 species